rnacentral:rRNA from 1 species
ACCUCGGAUCAGGUAGGUAUCCCGUUUU